GCUGUGAGCUCGAUGAGUAGGGCGGGACACGUGGUAUCCUGUCUGAAUAUGGGGGGACCAUCCUCCAAGGCUAAAUACUCCUGACUGACCGAUAGUGAACCAGUACCGUGAGGGAAAGGCGAAAAGAACCCCGGCGAGGGGAGUGAAAAAGAACCUGAAACCGUGUACGUACAAGCAGUGGGAGCACGCUUCGGCGUGUGACUGCGUACCUUUUGUAUAAUGGGUCAGCGACUUAUAUUCUGUAGCAAGGUUAACCGAAUAGGGGAGCCGAAGGGAAACCGAGUCUUAACUGGGCGUUAAGUUGCAGGGUAUAGACCCGAAACCCGGUGAUCUAGCCAUGGGCAGGUUGAAGGUUGGGUAACACUAACUGGAGGACCGAACCGACUAAUGUUGAAAAAUUAGCGGAUGACUUGUGGCUGGGGGUGAAAGGCCAAUCAAACCGGGAGAUAGCUGGUUCUCCCCGAAAGCUAUUUAGGUAGCGCCUCGUGAAUUCAUCUCCGGGGGUAGAGCACUGUUUCGGCAAGGGGGUCAUCCCGACUUACCAACCCGAUGCAAACUGCGAAUACCGGAGAAUGUUAUCACGGGAGACACACGGCGGGUGCUAACGUCCGUCGUGAAGAGGGAAACAACCCAGACCGCCAGCUAAGGUCCCAAAGUCAUGGUUAAGUGGGAAACGAUGUGGGAAGGCCCAGACAGCCAGGAUGUUGGCUUAGAAGCAGCCAUCAUUUAAAGAAAGCGUAAUAGCUCACUGGUCGAGUCGGCCUGCGCGGAAGAUGUAACGGGGCUAAACCAUGCACCGAAGCUGCGGCAGCGACGCUGAUGCGUUGUUGGGUAGGGGAGCGUUCUGUAAGCCUGCGAAGGUGUGCUGUGAGGCAUGCUGGAGGUAUCAGAAGUGCGAAUGCUGACAUAAGUAACGAUAAAGCGGGUGAAAAGCCCGCUCGCCGGAAGACCAAGGGUUCCUGUCCAACGUUAAUCGGGGCAGGGUGAGUCGACCCCUAAGGCGAGGCCGAAAGGCGUAGUCGAUGGGAAACAGGUUAAUAUUCCUGUACUUGGUGUUACUGCGAAGGGGGGACGGAGAAGGCUAUGUUGGCCGGGCGACGGUUGUCCCGGUUUAAGCGUGUAGGCUGGUUUUCCAGGCAAAUCCGGAAAAUCAAGGCUGAGGCGUGAUGACGAGGCACUACGGUGCUGAAGCAACAAAUGCCCUGCUUCCAGGAAAAGCCUCUAAGCAUCAGGUAACAUCAAAUCGUACCCCAAACCGACACAGGUGGUCAGGUAGAGAAUACCAAGGCGCUUGAGAGAACUCGGGUGAAGGAACUAGGCAAAAUGGUGCCGUAACUUCGGGAGAAGGCACGCUGAUAUGUAGGUGAAGCGACUUGCUCGUGGAGCUGAAAUCAGUCGAAGAUACCAGCUGGCUGCAACUGUUUAUUAAAAACACAGCACUGUGCAAACACGAAAGUGGACGUAUACGGUGUGACGCCUGCCCGGUGCCGGAAGGUUAAUUGAUGGGGUUAGCCGCAAGGCGAAGCUCUUGAUCGAAGCCCCGGUAAACGGCGGCCGUAACUAUAACGGUCCUAAGGUAGCGAAAUUCCUUGUCGGGUAAGUUCCGACCUGCACGAAUGGCGUAAUGAUGGCCAGGCUGUCUCCACCCGAGACUCAGUGAAAUUGAACUCGCUGUGAAGAUGCAGUGUACCCGCGGCAAGACGGAAAGACCCCGUGAACCUUUACUAUAGCUUGACACUGAACAUUGAGCCUUGAUGUGUAGGAUAGGUGGGAGGCUUUGAAGUGUGGACGCCAGUCUGCAUGGAGCCGACCUUGAAAUACCACCCUUUAAUGUUUGAUGUUCUAACGUUGACCCGUAAUCCGGGUUGCGGACAGUGUCUGGUGGGUAGUUUGACUGGGGCGGUCUCCUCCUAAAGAGUAACGGAGGAGCACGAAGGUUGGCUAAUCCUGGUCGGACAUCAGGAGGUUAGUGCAAUGGCAUAAGCCAGCUUGACUGCGAGCGUGACGGCGCGAGCAGGUGCGAAAGCAGGUCAUAGUGAUCCGGUGGUUCUGAAUGGAAGGGCCAUCGCUCAACGGAUAAAAGGUACUCCGGGGAUAACAGGCUGAUACCGCCCAAGAGUUCAUAUCGACGGCGGUGUUUGGCACCUCGAUGUCGGCUCAUCACAUCCUGGGGCUGAAGUAGGUCCCAAGGGUAUGGCUGUUCGCCAUUUAAAGUGGUACGCGAGCUGGGUUUAGAACGUCGUGAGACAGUUCGGUCCCUAUCUGCCGUGGGCGCUGGAGAACUGAGGGGGGCUGCUCCUAGUACGAGAGGACCGGAGUGGACGCAUCACUGGUGUUCGGGUUGUCAUGCCAAUGGCACUGCCCGGUAGCUAAAUGCGGAAGAGAUAAGUGCUGAAAGCAUCUAAGCACGAAACUUGCCCCGAGAUGAGUUCUCCCUGACUCCUUGAGAGUCCUGAAGGAACGUUGAAGACGACGACGUUGAUAGGCCGGGUGUGUAAGCGCAGCGAUGCGUUGAGCUAACCGGUACUAAUGAACCGUGAGG
rnacentral:rRNA from 1 species